rfam:Subdoligranulum sp. CAG:314 genomic scaffold, scf22
AGCAAAGUAGGGCACGCGCGUCAAGUGUCGGCGGAUGGGAAGUCGCCGCCGGACGAAAGACGGCAGUCUGCGGUGCGUGUCCGCGUCCGUUGCG